GAUGAACGCUGGCGGCGUGCCUAAUACAUGCAAGUCGAGCGAACAGACGAGGAGCUUGCUCCUCUGACGUUAGCGGCGGACGGGUGAGUAACACGUGGAUAACCUACCUAUAAGACUGGGAUAACUUCGGGAAACCGGAGCUAAUACCGGAUAAUAUAUUGAACCGCAUGGUUCAAUAGUGAAAGACGGUUUUGCUGUCACUUAUAGAUGGAUCCGCGCCGCAUUAGCUAGUUGGUAAGGUAACGGCUUACCAAGGCAACGAUGCGUAGCCGACCUGAGAGGGUGAUCGGCCACACUGGAACUGAGACACGGUCCAGACUCCUACGGGAGGCAGCAGUAGGGAAUCUUCCGCAAUGGGCGAAAGCCUGACGGAGCAACGCCGCGUGAGUGAUGAAGGUCUUCGGAUCGUAAAACUCUGUUAUUAGGGAAGAACAAAUGUGUAAGUAACUAUGCACGUCUUGACGGUACCUAAUCAGAAAGCUACGGCUAACUACGU
rnacentral:rRNA from 1 species